rnacentral:lncRNA from 1 species
UUUUGAAAUAUUAAGGGUGAGAUUAGUUCCAGAGAAUAUUCACCUCAAGGCUUUAUAAAUCUGGGUGCAUAAGGUCUCCUUCUUACUUCAGACCUUUUCCUUCUUCCUUUCUCUUUGCAUCUCUUGUAACUCUACAUUACUAUUUUUCACUUUUACUAUUGAAAGCACAUGCCAUCAGCACAAACCAUAUAAUUCUUUUAUCGUUUCAUAGAUAAAAGAGCUUAACUUCUCUCCUUCUUUUUCCUCCUUUCUUUCUUCUUCUUCAUAUUUGUAUCUCUUUCUCCUUUCUAUUCCUACAAUUGAACUUAAGUGGAUUUGUCGGAGUAACACAAGUUAAAAGUAGAUGGUGACCAUUACUUGGCAAGUGUUGCAAAGCUUAGGUUAGGUACAUGACAACUCAAAGAAUAGUUGGUCUGGCAGUUUCAAAGGCCCUUGCAGUUGUAUCCUGGUCAUAAGAACAUAUUAUAUGAAAAUUGUUAUGGACUCAUUUUGCUAGUCCAUUUUGC